CCUACGGGGGACUGCAGUAGGGAAUUUUCGUCAAUGGGCGCAAGCCUGAACGAGCGAUGCCGCGUGAGUGAAGAAGGUCUUCGGGUCGUAAAGCUCUGUUGCGGGGGAAAAAAGGCAGCAUCAGGAAAUGGGUGCUGACUGAUGGUGCCCCGCCAGAAAGUCACGGCUAACUACGUGCCAGCAGCCGCGGUAAUACGGAGGUGGCGAGCGUUAUCCGGAAUGAUUGGGCGUAAAGGGUGCGCAGGCGGUCCGGCAAGUCUGGAGUGAAACGCGUGAGCUCAACGCAGGCAUGGCUUUUGAAACUGGAGGACUUGAGAGCAGGAGAGGGCAGUGGAACUCCAGGUGUAGCGGUAAAAUGCGUAGAUAUAUGGAAGAACACCAGUGGCGAAGGCGGCCGCCUGGCGUGUUGCUGACGCUGAGGCACGAAAGCGUGGGGAGCAAAUAGGAUUAGAUACCCUUGUAGUC
rnacentral:rRNA from 1 species